rnacentral:rRNA from 1 species
UAAAGAAUUUGUCUGGCGGCGAUAGCGCGGUGGUCCCACCUGACCCCAUGCCGAACUCAGCAGUGAAACGCCGUAGCGCCGAUGGUAGUGUGGGGUCUCCCCAUGUGAGAGUAGGGAACUGCCAGAC